rnacentral:rRNA from 1 species
CCCCCUUGUAGUUUGAUCCUGGCUCAGGAUGAACGCUGGCGGCGUGCCUCCCCACAUGCAAGUCCAGCGUGAAGGUUAUGACAGAUUCUUCGGAUGAUGGAUUGACUGCAAAGCGGCGGACGGGUGAGUAACGCGUGGGUAACCUGCCCUACACACAGGGAUAGCCAUUGGAAACGAUGAUUAAUACCUGAUAACACAAAGACAACGCAUGUUGUUUUUGUCAAAGAUUUAUCGGUGUAGGAUGGACCCGCGUCUGAUUAGCUAUUUGGCAAGGUAACGGCUUACCAAGGCGACGAUCACUACCUACCUGAGAGGGUGAUCGGCCACACUGGAACUGACACACGGCCCACACUCCUACCGGAGGCACCACGGGGAAUAUUGCACAAUGGGCGCAGCCCGAUG